rnacentral:rRNA from 1 species
CAGUAGCCACGGUAAUACGUAGGUGGCAAGCGUUGUCCGGAAUUAUUGGGCGUAAAGGGCUCGCAGGCGGUUUCUUAAGUCUGAUGUGAAAGCCCCCGGCUCAACCGGGGAGGGUCAUUGGAAACUGGGAAACUUGAGUGCAGAAGGGGAGAGUGGAAUUCCACGUGUAGCGGUGAAAUGCGUAGAGAUGUGGAGGAACACCAGUGGCGAAGGCGACUCUCUGGUCUGUAACUGACGCCGAGGAGCGAAAGCGUGGGGAGCGAACAGGAUUAGAUACCCCCGUAGUCCCUGUCUCUUAUAC